UACGUAGGGGGCAAGCGUUGUUCGGAUUUACUGGGCGUAAAGGGCGCGUAGGCGGCCACCGCAAGUCAGUUGUGAAAUCUCUGGGCUUAACCCAGAAAGGUCAACUGAUACUGCGGGGCUAGAGUCCAGUAGGGGAGUGUGGAAUUCCCGGUGUAGCGGUGAAAUGCGCAGAUAUCGGGAGGAACACCAGCGGCGAAGGCGGCACUCUGGGCUGGAACUGACGCUGAGGAGCGAAAGCGUGGGUAGCAAACAGG
rnacentral:rRNA from 1 species